rnacentral:lncRNA from 1 species
GUGGGAUCAAAGCAACGCCGAAUUGUUGGUAUUGUGGUUCAGAUGUUUUUCACCCUUGGAGUCAUGAUCAUUCCUGGAAUUGCUUACUUAAUUCCUACAUGGCAGGGCAUCCAGCUGGCCAUUUCAUUGCCAAACUUCCUCUUUCUCUUCUAUUACUGGUAAAAACAACACAUUUUUACAUAGUAUAUUAAUUUUGCCAUAAUCUGUAAGGGAAAGAAAAGUCAGAGAUAGAAAUAGUAAGAGAGUAGUCAAAAUUGGUGUUUCCAGUGCUCAAUUACCUUGAGAAGUAAAUAAAGCAUUGACUCCCUUUUUACAAAACUGGCUUGGAAAAGGCAUGUUUCUUUCCAUACCUGUUUUGUGAAUGGAGAGUUACUAAUUGGCUGAGAGCUACAGCUGACCGUUCUCAGCCAAUCAAUGGCGUGCCUGCCCACGGUCAUGCCACGUUUCCGUAAACUAAAAAUUUCAGAACCCAAAUACAGCAUAGGGGUACCUGAGGAUUGGCACUGGGGGUGUCUUUUGGAUUAAACCAAGAACACUCUAACCCCUUUAGCCCGGGGGUCUCCUGGCACCAUAACAACUACAUUUAGAUUAAUUUAUUAUGGUGCCUAAAAUGUCUCUUUAAAUGAAAUGAUUAACAUAUAAGCCAUGCAUGGAUAUAUCCAGAAAAAACAACCAAACAGGAAAAAUAGAGAAAAAUAUAAAUGACCACAAAAACAUUAAUUUAGUUAUGAUUAAAGAUGAUAUGAAGAGCUUAGAUCUCACACAAUGUGUCAAAGGCUGUUAUAGAGUUGCAGGCUUUAAUAUCCAUGUGUGAACCUAGAUGAAUAAGAAGAACGUUUGACUGGUGCCCUGGAUUGUUGCCAAAAAUGCUUGUUUCUCCAGGGAAAUUCUUUUUAAGGUCCAGACCUGAACUGUGCGCUCAAGAUGUCUCUAUCCCUUCAAAGACCCUGGUGUGCACCACAUACAUUUGUAUGUUGGUUAUGAACUAGUUAUUCUGGUGACAAGAAGGGUGAGGUUAGUGACAAACAUGUGGAGACAGUGCAUAUGUUAGGAACCCAGAGUAAGGCACAGAAAUCUAAGAUACUCCAUACUUCCCUCAUCACCUUCCAAAAAAUGCAGUUAAAGUAAGUUUAAUGAAUUUAUAAACUGGACAUUUCAGACAUAAACAAACUGAAAAAACAACAACAUAUAUCCAAAUUUAAAUCCAACAAUAAGUGCAAACGCUUUGUAGAUACACCCCUAUAACGUAGUUUGCUUAGAGGUAACUACUGUUCAUAAGCUUAAAUAUAACACAAAAUAAUCAAAAUUACUGUACUGUAUUUAGAUAAAUAAUUAAAAAAAACACUAAUUUAAUGUGGAAAGCACACACUGUGAAGGCAAAAAAUUAUCUGAAAAAUUUAUUACCUAAAAUUCUUCAAUACUGUAGAUAAAACUCCUCCAAGUCCUCAAUAAAACACACAAGAAAACAAGGUAUCUAUGGUAGAAAAAUGGAACAAACACUCAUAGAGUAGUAUUGUACAAACGCUGAACAGUUUGACCAACUUCAAUGCCCCAUAAUUUUCAAUUAAAAUGUACAUUCUAUACACUAUAAUUGAAAAUUCUAUUUUUAAGGUAUUGUUUCAUUGUACAGUCUGACCUUGGAGUGAAUUUGCUGGGACGUCUACUUCUGGGAAGAUUGGCAAGUGUUUUAAAAGUUUUCCACUUUUGAAUAAUCUUUGGGCAGCAACAAUUGCUUCUCUAAGCUCUAAGAUCAUUACUGAUGACUUUCCUCCUUGACAAUGCUCCAGAUCAGCAAACUGGUAAAACUUCGGUAAAGCGGGUUACACUUGCUGAUGAUCAAUUAGUCAAGGGCAUUUGAUUAGCAGCACCUGUCUGCUCCUUAGCAUCUUAAUUCCUAUGGAAGCAAUAAGGGUGACCUUAGUUUUUCACACAUGGCUUCUCUAUUUUGACUUUAUAUUUGUUAAAUAAUGGUGUAAUAUGUAAUGUGUUGUUUAUCAUCUUGUCAUUUUAAUACCUGUUAAGGAAUAGAUGGUUGUUAUUAUUUCCUAAUAUGUAAAACCGUAGAAUUCAAAUAAGGGUGUACUUUCUUUUUCCUAUAACUGUAAGUGCUUGAAAUAGGCACUGCCUGCAGCAGGUGGAGGCAACCUUCGGCACUCCAGAUAUUGUGGACUACAUUUCUCAUGAUGCAUUAUCAGCAUUAUGACUGUAUGAGCAUUAUGAAAGAUGUAGUCCAAGAUACCUGGAGUGCCAAAAAUGUCCUACCCCUGCCCUUUAGCACAGAAACCUACUCUGCCUAAUGGGAAAUACAGCUUUGGAUUUGGAAGAAUAAAAUAUAAUUGCUGAAAUAUACAGUUAGAUGAAAGUAUGUUAGUUACUUCAUGUUUACCUUAAAGGGACACUAGGUACCCAGACCACUUAAUCGCAUUAGAGUAGUCUGGGUGCAGUGCAAUAUCAAACAAUACAGUUUCUGAGAAACUGACAUUUUUACAUUGUAGGGUUAAGCCCACAUGUGGUAGCUGUCUUCCGUACAGUCACUAGUGUUUUUCCUGGUGCCUAACAGAGUUUUACUUUGUAAAAUGGUAUUGUAUGUCCUUUGCAUGAGGACGUCUAACAUCUUAAAAUUCCUUAUUAGAAAGCAUUGAUUCAAUGCUUAUUUAUGGGGAAACCUUGGUGUGCACAAGACAAGAACAUUGUGUUCACAUUAGGUCCCACAAUUGCCUUGAUGUUGCGGGAAGAGUAGACCUAGCCAGUGCAGAGAGAGCUUUUAUGCAUGAAUUAUGGUAAGUUAAAAAGGGUUUUAAAGCUUUAACUUGACCAAUGGGGUGGGGGACCUAAUCAGUUAAUUAUAAGGACACUAUAUACACAUUUGAUUUGAUUAAGCUAGUUACUUGCUGUUGAUUGCUGGUUAAUUAGCUAUUGUUUGCAAAUAAGCAGAGGCCUACCCAGGUGUUAAUCAUUCCUAGUGGGCGGUGAUUUUAGGAGUUAUAUAAGGCCUGGUUCCAUUAGCUUGUCUAAUAUAGCUUGGUGCUACUUCCAAGUGCUGUUUCUAAGUGUGUCGUUGGAGAUAUUCUGGAGAGUUUUACAGAAGCUUCAACUGUCUAAGAGUUGUGCUAAGAGCUUUCUUUUCUACUGUUACAGGUAGGAUUCAUCUGUAGGAAAAGGUUACUGAUUGCCCAAGGUUUGAAUUCCUGUUGGUAAUUAUAAGGCAUUUGAUUUGAUUAAGCUAGUUACUUGCUGUUGAUUGCUGGUUAAUUAGCUAUUGUUUGCAAAUAAGCAGAGGCCUACCCAGGUGUUAAUCAUUCCUAGUGGGCGGUGAUUUUAGGAGUUAUAUAAGGCUUGGUUCCAUUAGCUUGUCUAAUAUAGCUUGGUGCUACUUCCAAGUGCUGUUUCUAAGUGUGUCGUUGGAGAUAUUCUGGAGAGUUUUACAGAAGCUUCAACUGUCUAAGAGUUGUGCUAAGAGCUUUCUUUUCUACUGUUACAGGUAAGAUUCAUCUGUAGGAAAAGGUUACUGAUUGCACAAGGUUUGAAUUCCUGUUGGUAAUUAUAAGGCAUUUGAUUUGAUUAAGCUAGUUACUUGCUGUUGAUUGCUGGUUAAUUAGCUAUUGUUUGCAAAUAAGCAGAGGCCUACCCAGGUGUUAAUCAUUCCUAGUGGGCGGUGAUUUUAGGAGUUAUGUAAGGCCUGCUGUUUCUAAGUGUGUCGUUGGAGAUAUUCUGGAGAUAACCUGGAGGUAAUCUGAGGUAUUCAGGAGGAUAAAUACAAAAGUUAAGAUUUGUUCGAUUUAUAUUAUUCUUAUAAUUGGAAUGGCAGGUUUAGUUCAGUGUAACAAUUGCUAUGCAUUUGUUUCACGUUCCAGUUUUUGGAGGUUUGGUUGUUGUCUAAUCUGUAGACAGUUCUCUAUCUUGCGGCAGGAGAUUGUAUUUUUGAAGUCUGAGAUUUGUAAAUUAUCUGGUGAAGAAACUCAGACUGGAACUGCUGCAAAGCCACUGCCGCAGAGACAUGCUAGGAAAGGCAGAUGGAUUACUGUAGGAUCUGGUAGACUUAGAGUUGUGGAUAAAAGGCAUUUUGCACAGUCUGUUGCUCUUCAUAAUUCAUUUUCUGCACUUUCAGAGUGUAAUGGUGUUGUGGAGAGAGGCACUGAGGCUAGUGGUGUUGUGGAGAGAGGCACUGAGACUAGUGGUGUUGUGGAGAGAGGCACUGAGACUAGUGGUGUUGUAGAGAGAGGCACUGAGGCUAGUGGUGUUGUAGAGAGAGGCACUGAGGCUAGUGGUGUUGUAGAGAGAGGCACUGAGGCUAGUGGUGUUGUAGAGAGAGGCACUGAGGCUAGUGGUGUUGUGGAGAGAGGCACUGAGGCUAGUGGUGUUGUGGAGAGAGGCACUGAGACUAGUGGUGUUGUGGAGACCGGCUUGGAGAGUAUGGUGAAGCCUAAUAGAAUAGCUUUGGUGAAGUAUGGUGAAGCCUAAUAGCAGUUGUUGUUGGGUGAUUCCAUUAUAAGAGGUGUGGAGAUGGACAAUGGUGGUCUUGUGAGGUGUCUUCCCGGAGCUACUGCUCACAGAGACAGGAGACGUAUCUGUAAUAUUGUUAAGCAAGCAAAGCAGGAAGGGGAAUUGGAUGUACUUGUCCAUCUAGGGACAAAGCGGCUUGGCCUGCAAUGAGGUUUUCAGAGGGUUAAGAGGAAGUUUUGGUAUUUUGCCAAUGAUGUCACGGCGGGUUGGCUACACUGUAUCAUUCUCUGAAAGUUCUGCUGUGCAUAACACUCCAGAGCGACAAGGAUCGCAUUAUUAGGGACUUUAAUUUGUGGCUUGGUGAAUGAUUAGCCGGGAGCAAGGAUUUGGCUUUGGCCUACUCAUGGUAGCUCUGUUUGGAAUGGGAGGAAUGGCUACUUUUAAAAGAUGGUUGCAUCUUUCUCAAGGAACAAAUGUUCUCAGUGAGGCAGUUCUGGAGAGGUUUGCUAGGAUGUGUAUUUAAGAAGCUAGGAGGGCAAAGGGGUGAUAAAACAUCAAUCCAAUUGUCCCCCAAAACAAGGACAGAAGGUGCCUGUAGCAAGUGUGUUAAAAAAUGAUAAGCUUAGAGUCAUGUCUACAAAUGCUCGCAGUUUAGGGAAUAAGAUCCAUGAACUUGUGGCAAUAAUGGCAACUGAUAGUGUAGAUUUAGUAGCUGUUACUGAGACAUGGUAUAAUGAGAAAAUGACUGGGACAUAGCAAUACCACUCUUUAUAUACGAAAGAUAGGGAAGGCAAGAAAGGAGGAGAGGUGGCCUUGUAUGUGAAGGAUAGCAUAAAAUCUAGCCUAAUAAAAGUUAGUGAGGCAAACAUAGAGUCCGUUUGGGCUACGUUAGAAUUUGGUAAUCACACAGUAAUUCGUGUAGGUGUGAUUUAUAGGCCCCCAGGACAAAUUGAAGAGUUAGAUAAUCUACUAGUUGAGGAAAUAGCUAAAAUGACAAUGAAGGGGGAAGUUAUCAUCAUGGGUGACUUUAAUCUUCCUGAUGUAAAUUGGAAAACAAAAAUUAGCUACUUGUGCCAGGAGCACACAUAUUCUAAACUCCCUACUGGGAUUGUCUCUAAAACAAGUUGUUGAGGAGCCAACUCGUAAAGAGACCAUACUAGAUUUAGUGUUAACAAAUGGAGAUUUGGUAUCAGAUAUUACUGUAGGUGAAUUUAGGAUCCAGUGAUCAUCAGUCAGUGUGGUUUAAUAUAAGAACAGUGACUGAGUCACACACAAAAACAAAAGUUUUUAGACUUUUAGAAAAACAGACUUUUCUAAAAUUAGAAUAUGGGUAGAGGAGUCAUUAUCAGACUGGAGCAAUUUAAAUGGAGUCCAAGAAAAAUGGGAUUAUUUAAAGUUGCACUAUUGAAGGCAACAGAAAAUUGCAUUAGGCUUGUCAGUAAAAGCAAAAAAUUCAAGAAACCACUGUGGUACUCCGCAGAUGUGGCCAAAAUAGUUAAAAACAAAAAGUUAGCAUUUAGGAAUUAUAAAAAAACCCAGAGUGAGGGAGACAAAAUGAUCUAUAAGAUUAGGCAGAAAGAGGCUAAGCAAGUUAUAAGAGCUUCCAAAUCACACACAGAAGAGAAAAUAGCACAGUCAGUAAAAAAGGGGGAUAAAACAUUUUUUAGAUACAUAAAUGAAAAAAGAAAAGUAAAACAAGGAUUAGUUAGAUUAAAAACAAAAGAAGGAAGGUAUGUAGAAGAGGAUAAAGGUCAGGCUGACUGCCUCAAUGAAUAUUUUUGUUCUGUAUUUACAGUAGAAAAUGAAGGAAAGGGACCUCAGUUGAGAAAAAGGAUAAAUGAGUCAUUUAUUACACGUGAGUUUGCAGAGGAAGAGGUUCUAUUUCAACUGUCAAAAGUAAAGACAAAUAAGUCAAUGGGACCUGAUGGAAUACACCCAAAGCUAUUAAAAGAGCUUAGUGGUGUACUAGCAAAACCAUUAACAGAUUUAUUUAACCAAUCAUUGUUAACAGGAGUAGUCCCAGAAGAUUGGAAGUUAGCGAAUCUUGUGCCCAUUUACAAGAAAGGUAAUAGGGAGGAGUCGGGCAACUAUAGGCCAGUAAGCCUUACUUCAGUAGUGGGGAAAGUGAUGGAAACCAUGUUAAAGGAUAGGAUUGUUGAACAUCUAAAAACACAUAGAUUUCAAGAUCAGAAACAACAUGGGUUUACUUCAGGGAGAUCAUGCCAAACUAAUCUUAUUGAUUUUUUUGAUUGGGUAACUAAAAUUAUAGAUCAGGGUGGUACAGUAGACAUUGCUUACCUAGAUUUCAGUAAGGCUUUUGACACUGUUGCACAUAGAAGGCUUAUCAAUAAACUGCAAUCUUUAAGUUUGGAUUCAAAUAUUGUUGAAUAGGUAAGGCAGUGGCUGAGUGACAGGCAACAGAGGGUUGUAGUUAAUGGAAUAUAUUCGAAGCUUAGACUUGUCACCAGUGGGGUACCUCAGGGAUCUGUACUUGGACCCAUUCUCUUUAAUAUUUUUAUUAGUGAUAUUGCAGAAGGUCUUGAUGGUAAGGUAUGUCUUUUUGCUGAUGAUACUAAGAUAUGUAACAGGGUUGAUGUUCCAGGAGGGAUAAGCCAAAUGACAAAUGAUUUAGGUAAACUAGAAAAAUGGUCAGAAUUGUGGCAACUGACAUUUAAUGUGGAUAAGUGCAAGAUAAUGCAUCUUGGGCGUAAAAACCCAAGGGCAGAGUACAGAAUAUUUGAUAGAGUCCUAACCUCAACAUAUGAGGAAAGGGAUUUAGGGGUGAUUAUUUCUGAUGACUUAAAGGUAGGCAGACAAUGUAAUAGAGCAGCAGGAAAUGCUAGCAGAAUGCUUGGUUGUAUAGGGAGAGGUAUUAGCAGUAGAAAGAGGGAAGUGCUCAUGCCAUUAUACAGAACACUGGUGAGACCUCACUUGGAGUAUUGUACACAGUACUGGAGACCGUAUCUUCAGAAGGAUAUUGAUACCUUAGAGAGGGUUCAGAGAAAGGGCUACUAAACUGGUUCAUGGAUUGCGGGAUAAAACUUACCAGGAAAGGUUAAAGGAUCUUAACAUGUAUAGCUUGGAGGAAAGACGAGACAGGGGGAUAUGAUAGAAACAUUUAAAUAUAUAAAGGGAAUCAACACAGUAAAGGAGGAGACUAUAUUUAAAAGAAGAAAAACUACCACAACAAGAGGACAUAGUCUUAAAUUAGAGGGACAAAGGUUUAAAAAUAAUAUCAGGAAGUAUUACUUUACUGAGAGGGUAGUGGAUGCAUGGAAUAGCCUUCCAGCUGAAGUGGUAGAGGUUAACACAGUAAAGGAGUUUAAGCAUGCGUGGGAUAGGCAUAAGGCUAUCCUAACUAUAAGAUAAGGCCAGGGACUAAUGAAAGUAUUUAGAAAAUUGGGCAGACUAGAUGGGCCGAAUGGUUCUUAUCUGCCGUCACAUUCUAUGUUUCUAUGUUUCUAUGUUUCUAUAGCGUUAGGAAUACAGGUACAGUAUUUCUCUAAACAUAUAUGCAUAGCUGAAUUUGGCAGACUCGUCAGAAUUGAAUGACUAACAAAUGCAAAGCACUUGUCUUCUUAUUUUUGGCGCUAAUAUGCAAUGCCAACUUGAUGAAGUAUGUUCUAAUCUGCACAGUAGUUUAACUUCGACAGAAAUAUAGCUAUAAUGGGAAUAAUACCAGGGUACUGGAUACCACCAUUUACCAUAUGUUAUACCAUUGUUAAAUCUUUUGCAACAUCACACAUGAUGCUGACUAUGCAUUUUUUAAAGUAAAACUAGUGUUAUUUCCAAAGGCUCUAUUGGUGGCUUCUCACAUACUGCACCCUCCCAAUACUGGAGUCCAUCCCAGCCAUUCCCUAGGAUAAUUGUGGGGUAGUAAACUGUGUUCUUUAUACAAGGAUACUAGAGCUACCUUGAUUUCAUCCUUGGAGCAUGCAAGGAUGUCAAGAGGCAGGUUUUUUGUGACUUCGCUGCUCCCACAGCUUUCUUUUCAGAAAAACACUUAGCAGGCAUCUAGGAGUUGCUAGGACUGUCGCUGCUCCCACAGUUUACUUUCAGAAAAAUACUGAGCAGGCAUUUAGGAGAUGCCUGCUCAGUGUUAUUCUGAAAGUAAGCUGCGGGAGCAGUGAGGUGGCAAAAGAACUGCUCCUUGACAUCCUUGCAAGUAAGCUGUGGGAGCAGCGAGGUGGCAAAAGACCUGCUCCUUGACAUCCUUGCAUGCUCCAAGGAUGAAAUCAAGGUAGCUGCUUCUGUUUUGGAUUAUGAUUCCCAAUUAGCUGAUGAUUUUAAAAGGCUCAAUCCAGGGACAGAUUCAGAAUUCAGUCUUAUUAUUCUCUUUCUGAAACAAUACAAUUUUUGUUACAUGUAUAGAUUAUCGCUCACAAAGAUAACUAUUAUUUAUUGUCCCAUUUUUCUUGACAGGCUGAUCCCUGAAUCUCCACGUUGGCUGUUAAUACGCAAAGAAAAAGAAAAAGCAAUAAAAAUCAUGAAUGACAUAG